rnacentral:lncRNA from 1 species
AUUACCACGAGAAAUAUUUUGACCAUAUUUUGAAAAAUAUUCUUGGAAAAAGAAUUGUAAAUUAAGAUUUUAUUAAAAAAAAGAAAAAAAGCACCUAAAAACCCUUGAGAGCACAAGAAAGCAAACUAAGGGCCGAGCCUCAUUAAAACCCUUUUAAGACAAACUCGGGAGGGAAAAUUCUUAAAAGGGAAAAAGAGUACUCGUCUAAACAACUGUGAGGAAGCGAAAGUGAGACAACUUCAGAGACUCCGGCC